AGAGUUUGAUCCUGGCUCAGGAUGAACGUUGGCGGUGUGCCUAAUACAUGCAAGUCGAACGGUGACGAUUUUGUAGCAAUACGAAUGAAAUCAUAGUGGCGAACGGGUGAGUAACGCGUUGGUGAUCUGCCUCGAAGUGUGGAAUAACUUCCCGAAAGGGUAGCUAAUACCGCAUAGUCUCUCAAGGUUUAGAAAAUUGAGAGUAAAGGAUUUAUUCGCUUCGAGAGGAGCCUGCGUCCCAUCAGCUAGUUGGUAGGGUAAUAGCCUACCAAGGCAAUGACGGGUAGGGGACCUGAGAGGGUGGCCCCCCACAAUGGAACUGAAACACGGUCCAUACACCUACGGGUGGCAGCAGUAGGGAAUAUUAGAAAUGGGCGAAAGCCUGAUCUAGCAACACCGCGUGUGCGAUGAAGGCCUUCGGGUUGUAAAGCACUUUUUGGAGGGAAUAGGAAGGAAGGUACCUCCAGAAUAAGGAUCGGCUAACUCCGUGCCAGCAGCCGCGGUAAUACGGAGGAUCCGAGCGUUAUCCGGAUUUAUUGGGUUUAAAGGGUGCGUAGGCGGAAAUGUAAGUCAGUGGUGAAAUCCUGCAGCUUAACUGUAGAAUAGCCGUUGAAACUGUGUUUCUUGAGUACAUUUGAGGUAGGCGGAAUGUGGUGUGUAGCGGUGAAAUGCUUAGAUAUCACACAGAACACCGAUUGCGAAGGCAGCACACUAAGUCAUUAUUGACGCUGAGGCACGAAAGUGUGGGGAUCAAACAGGAUUAGAUACCCUGGUAGUCCACACUGUAAACGAUGAUAACUCGCUGUCGGCGAUACACAGUCGGUGGCCAAGCGAAAGCAUUAAGUUAUCCACCUGGGGAGUACGACCGCAAGGUUGAAACUCAAAGGAAUUGACGGGGGCCCGCACAAGCGGAGGAACAUGUGGUUUAAUUCGAUGAUACGCGAGGAACCUUACCUGGGCUUAAAUGGGAAGUGACAGUUUUGGAAACAAAAUUUUCUUCGGACACUUUUCAAGGUGCUGCAUGGUUGUCGUCAGCUCGUGCCGUGAGGUGUCGGGUUAAGUCCCAUAACGAGCGCAACCCUUGCCGUUAGUUGCCAUCGGGUCAUGCCGGGCACUCUAUUGGGACUGCCAUCGUAAGAUGUGAGGAAGGUGGGGAUGACGUCAAAUCAGCACGGCCCUUACGUCCGGGGCGACACACGUGUUACAAUGGGUGGUACAAAGGGCAGCUACAUGGCGACAUGAUGCUAAUCUCCAAAACCACUCUCAGUUCGGAUCGGAGUCUGCAACUCGACUUCGUGAAGCUGGAUUCGCUAGUAAUCGCGCAUCAGCAUGGCGCGAUGAAUCCGUUCCCAGGCCUUGUACACACCGCCCGUCAAG
rnacentral:rRNA from 1 species